rnacentral:lncRNA from 1 species
GUUUUGCAAGCUUUAGCCUGUGUGCGCUGUGUAAGGGGAGGAGAGGGGAGGAUUGAGGCCUUGUGUUCCUGCUAAAGGGGGGUGGGUGUCACAGCAGGGAGCCGGAAGGAGUGACUGACACACGCAGGCUGCUGCUCAGCUCUUCUCUACAGUUAGGGGGUCCUAUGACGUGCGCGAGGGAAAUUCCAAGUUGGCUGAAGAAUGAAUGAACACCAACAUCCACAUCUACCCCUCACAGGGCCCUGGUGACACUGGGCUGGGGAUUUGUUUCUUCCUGGAGAUAAUCCUGCAGUAGGCAUCAUCCAUGCCAGGGCCUCCCAAACUGGCUUCCUUUUGUGCCUAUGAUAGAUCGGUGUUUGGGAAGAAACGACCCAACAUAUUGGUCCCAAGGCAUGAGAAGAAUGGCCUCUGCCCAGGGCAGGUGCCCAGGGGCCUCCGUCGGUGCCCGUGCCGUGGACAUGAUUAGAAGCUUCUCUAGAAUGAUGGAAGGUGAGUGGUGUUUUUCACAGGGCUUUGAAGGUUUGUGAGUUCUC